CAAAACACACAAAGACAAAUAAAAAGCUAUGGUAUGUACAAUGUAGGUGGUGGUGUUACCUCAUCGGUCAGGUGAAGUAGACGGAUACGAACUCGUCCUUACUUUCUUUAGUAUAAGCAGGGACUGAUGUUGAGGCGGAAGGGUUUGCUCGUCCUGUCUGGUCGAGUAGUUGGUCGAGCGUGUGGAUGCUCUUCUCUGCCUACUCCUUGGCUCUCUCAAAUCGGAGAUCACUUUCCGAGGCUCAAAUGAUGAAGC
rnacentral:sRNA from 1 species